GGUUGGGAACGCUCCGCUUCAAAUUCCAGAAUACUUCGAGAUGCAAUAAGUAGGCCAAAUGGAUUAAAAGUACCAACCGGUUGUUAUUACUUAGUGGAUGCUGGUUACACAAAUGGUGAAGGAUUUAUUGCACCAUAUAGGGGAACAAGAUAUCACCUUUCCGAAUGGAGAGAUGGUUGUGCACCCAUAAAUUAUCAAGAGUAUUUCAACAUGAAGCAUGCAUCAGCUAGGAAUAUCAUAGAAAGAUGCUUUGGGGUUCUUAAAAUGCGAUAGGCAAUUUUAAGAAGUCCAUCUUUCUACCCAAUUGCAACACAAAUCAAAACCAUUACUGCAUGUUGUUUGAUACAUAAUCUGAUUAGAAGAGAAAUGACACUCGAUCCUGGAGAAGUUGAAUAUGAUAGGAUGGAAAAUGUGGACAUUAAUGAAGAGGAGGACAUUAUAGGAUUAAUUGCUUCCUCGGAUCGAUGGACAAAUUGGAGAGAUGAGUUAGCUAAGCAAAUGUUUGGUGAGCGGAGAGGUCAUCAUGAUUACUAGUUGAUGGUUAUGUAAAAAAUUAUGCUCUAACUGCUUAUUUAAUAUUGUUUGUUAAAUCUUUUGGAUAAUAUGUAUGAAGACAAACUUAUAUUAUAUUAAGUGCAACAUUUGAGA